rnacentral:misc_RNA from 1 species
UACGAAGGGGGCUAGCGUUGUUCGGAAUCACUGGGCGUAAAGCGCACGUAGGCGGCCUUUUAAGUCAGGGGUGAAAUCCCGGGGCUCAACCCCGGAACUGCCUUGGAUACUGGCAGUCUUGAGUCCGGGAGAGGUGAGCGGAACUCCGAGUGGAGCGGUGAAAUUCGUAGAUAUUCGGAAGAACACCAGUGGCGAAGGCGGCUCACUGGCUCGGUACUGACGCUGAGGUGCGAAAGCGUGGGGAGCAAACAGG